AACCUCCGCAAUGUGAGAAAUCGCGACGGGGGGAUCCCAAGUGCCAUUCUUAACGGGAUGGCUUUUCAUUAGUGUAAAGAGCUUUUGGAAUAAGAGCUGGGCAAGACCGGUGCCAGCCGCCGCGGUAACACCGGCAGCUCUAGUGGUAACAAUUUUUAUUGGGCCUAAAGCGUCCGUAGCCGGUUUAAUAAGUCUCUGGUGAAAUCCUGUAGCUUAACUGUGGGAAUUGCUGGAGAUACUAUUAGACUUGAGACCGGGAGAGGUUAGAGGUACUCCCAGGGUAGAGGUGAAAUUCUGUAAUCCUGGGAGGACCGCCUGUUGCGAAGGCGUCUAACUGGAACGGUUCUGACGGUGAGGGACGAAAGUUAGGGGCGCGAACCGGAUUAGAUACCCGGGUAGUCCUAACUGUAAACGAUGCGGACUUGGUGUUGGGGUGGCUUUGAGCUGCUCCAGUGCCGAAGGGAAGCUGUUAGUCCGCCGCCUGGGAAGUACGGUCGCAAGACUGAAACUUAAAGGAAUU
rnacentral:rRNA from 1 species